CCUACGGGAGGCAGCAGUGAGGGAUAUUGGUCAAUGGACGAGAGUCUGAACCAGCCACGUAGCGUGAAGGAUGACUGCCCUAUGGGUUGUAAACUUCUUUUAUAUGGGAAUAAAAUGUUCCACGUGUGGGAGUUUGUAUGUACCAUAUGAAUAAGGAACGGCUAACUCCGUGCCAGCAGCCGCGGUAAUACGGAGGAUCCGAGCGUUAUCCGGAUUUAUUGGGUUUAAAGGGAGCGCAGGUGGAUUGUUAAGUCAGUUGUGAAAGUUUGCGGCGCAACCGUAAAAUUGCAGUUGAAACUGGCAGUCUUGAGUACAGGAGAGGUGGGCGGAAUUCGUGGUGUAGCGGUGAAAUGCUUAGAUAUCACGAAGAACUCCGAUUGCGAAGGCAGCUCACUGGACUGCAACUGACACUGAGGCCCGAAAGUGUGGGUAUCAAACAGGAUUAGAUACCCCAGUAGUC
rnacentral:rRNA from 1 species